AAGAUCUCAUGCUCCUCCCCACAGCCCUCUUCUCUGCUCACACAGGAAGCCCAGGAAGCCUCUGCCUCAGAGAUGCUGCCGCUGCUGCUGCCGCUGCCCCUGCUGUGGGCAGGGCCCUCGCUCAGGAUGCAAGAUUCCGGCUGGAGAUGCCAGAGUCCGUGACGGUGCAGGAGGGUCUGUGCAUCUUUGUGCACUGUUCGGUCUUCUACCUCGAGUAUGGCUGGAAAGAUUCUACCCCUGCUUAUGGCCACUGGUUCCGGGAAGGGGUCAGUGUAGACCAGGAGACUCCAGUGGCCACAAACAACUCAACUCAAAAAGUGCAGAAGGAGACCCAGGGCCGAUUCCACCUCCUCGGUGAUCCCUCAAGGAACAACUGCUCCCUGAGCAUCAGAGACGCCAGGAGGAGGGACAACGGUUCAUACUUCUUUUGGGUGGCGAGAGGAAGAACAAAAUUUAGUUACAAAUAUUCCCCGCUCUCUGUGUAUGUGACAGCCCUGACCCACAGGCCCGACAUCCUCAUCCCGGAGUUCCUAAAGUCUGGCCAUCCCAGCAACCUGACCUGCUCUGUGCCCUGGGUCUGUGAGCAGGGAACACCCCCCAUCUUCUCCUGGAUGUCAGCUGCCCCCACCUCCCUGGGCCCCAGGACCCUCCACUCCUCAGUGCUCACGAUCAUCCCACGGCCUCAGGACCACGGCACCAACCUCAUCUGUCAGGUGACGUUCCCCGGAGCUGGUGUGACCACGGAGAGAACCAUCCAGCUCAGUGUCUCCUGGAAAUCAGGAACCGUGGAAGAGGUGGUUGUUUUGGCCGUGGGGGUAGUGGCUGUGAAGAUCCUGCUUCUCUGCCUUUGCCUCAUCAUCCUCAGUUUCCACAAGAAGAAGGCGGUGAGGGCAGUGGAGGUUGAGGAGAAUGUAUAUGCUGUCAUGGGUUAAUCUCUCAGGCCUCCAGACUGUACUUCCAGAUGUCUCCUCAUCCAGUUCCUCCACAGUCUGAAUGGCCAUGUUUCCUCUUCAUUGCUGGAGAAUGAAGUGCAAAUGCCACUGCCUGGACUGAAGGCCUUUCACGAUCUGUCUUCUGCUGGACUCUGCUCCUGAUCCCCCUUCUCCUUGCAUCACCCGAAGUCUCCCUACACCCACCAGGCCAAGCCCUCUGUGAUUCUGAGACUUUGCAUGUGUAGUUACUUCUCCUGAAAUGGC
ensembl:lncRNA SIGLEC17P sialic acid binding Ig like lectin 17, pseudogene